UGCUUCCAUGGGAAUCGAACCCACGACCUUCCGCUUACCGGGCAGAUGCCAUGACCACUAGGCUACCCUGGAC